ensembl:ncRNA ZC21.14 ncRNA
AAAUCAACAAAAGUAUGGCUGCGAAAAUGGGCGUAUCCUUCUUUCCUGAUUAAGAGGAAUGUGAACAGAAAAAAACGUUGAAAGGGAGGAAGAAGUCGUCACACAGAUUCUAAAGUGACUUUGAGAGACGAAAAUGUGUUCGUUAAUCUUCUAGAGA